rnacentral:rRNA from 1 species
GCCUAACACAUGCAAGUCGCACGAGAAAGCCGGAGCAAUCUGGUGAGUAAAGUGGCGCACGGGUGAGUAACACGUGGGUAAUCUACCUUCUUGUGGGGAAUAACCCUGGGAAACCGGGGCUAAUACCGCAUAAGCCCGAGAGGGGAAAGCAGCAAUGCGCAGGAAGAGGAGCCCGCGGCCGAUUAGCUAGUUGGUGGGGUAAAGGCCUACCAAGGCAGAGAUCGGUAGCCGGCCUGAGAGGGCACACGGCCACACUGGCACUGAGACACGGGCCAGACUCCUACGGGAGGCAGCAGUGGGGAAUCUUGCACAAUGGGGGAAACCCUGAUGCAGCGACGCCGCGUGAGUGAUGAAGCCCUUCGGGGUGUAAAGCUCUUUCGGCAGGAACGAUAAUGACGGUACCUGCAGAAGAAGCUGCGGCUAACUACGUGCCAGCAGCCGCGGUAAU